rnacentral:rRNA from 1 species
ACGAACGCUGGCGGCGUGCUUAACACAUGCAAGUCGAACGGAAAGGCCCUGCUUGCAGGGUACUCGAGUGGCGAACGGGUGAGUAACACGUGGGUGAUCUGCCCUGCACUUCGGGAUAAGCCUGGGAAACUGGGUCUAAUACCGGAUAGGAGCCAUUUUUAGUGUGAUGGUUGGAAAGUUUUUUCGGUGUAGGAUGAGCUCGCGGCCUAUCAGCUUGAUGGUGGGGUAAUGGCCUACCAAGGCGGCGACGGGUAGCCGGCCUGAGAGGGUGGACGGCCACAUUGGGACUGAGAUACGGCCCAGACUCCUACGGGAGGCAGCAGUGGGGAAUAUUGCACAAUGGGCGCAAGCCUGAUGCAGCGACGCCGCGUGGGGGAUGACGGCCUUCGGGUUGUAAACUCCUUUCGCUAGGGACGAAGCUUUUUGUGACGGUACCUAGAUAAGAAGCACCGGCUAACUACGUG